rnacentral:misc_RNA from 1 species
CUCUCACUCUCUCUCUCUGUCCAAAAACAGAAAUAGACAAAUUCAUCCCUCGUGGAAGGUUUGUACCCUUACUUAAAAAGCAACCAGAAAAAUCCCACAAGUGAAUUACCAGAAGCAACAACACUUAGAGAUUAUGUUACUGUUCAAUAAGAAUAAACAAAACCUAAUCAUAAAAUUGGUCUAAAGAUUCAGCUGGCAAUAUUUAAAGCAACUACAAAACUCCAUAAUUAUUCUAUCUUAAUCGAAAGUUAAGCCUAUACAAGCAAAUCCAAUAUCAGAUGUAUGCAUCAUCUGUUCUACUCCUCUUCUACAUCUUAAACACUGUUUGACACAUGUCACAUGCGGAGAUAUACCUUUUCUAACUACUAUUUGACAACAUCAAUAAAUGAGGCUGACAUCUUCAUGUGCCGUAGCCUGUAGGUGUAACAAAUCAACUUUGUAAUUUUCCAAAUUCUCUUUCUUUUUCUCCUUACACUAAAAAAUCAUAUAAUGCUAUAAAAUCCAAUAAAAUAUUAUAAAA